UACGUAGGGACCAAGCGUUGUUCGGAUUUACUGGGCGUAAAGGGCGCGUAGGCGGCAAUUCAAGUCAGCUGUGAAAUCUCCGAGCUUAACUCGGAAAGGUCAACUGAUACUGCUCGGCUAGAGUGCGGAAGGGGCAACUGGAAUUCUUGGUGUAGCGGUGAAAUGCGUAGAUAUCAAGAGGAACACCUGCGGCGAAGGCGGGUUGCUGGGCCGACACUGACGCUGAAGUGCGAAAGCUAGGGGAGCGAACGGG
rnacentral:rRNA from 1 species